ACGGGAGGCAGCAGUGGGGGAUAUUGCACAAUGGGGGAAACCCUGAUGCAGCGACGCCGCGUGAGCGAAGAAGUAUUUCGGUAUGUAAAGCUCUAUCAGCAGGGAAGAAAAUGACGGUACCUGACUAAGAAGCUCCGGCUAACUAUGUGCCAGCAGCCGCGGUAAUACAUAGGGAGCAAGCGUUAUCCGGAUUUACUGGGUGUAAAGGGUGCGUAGGCGGCAUAACAAGUCAGUCGUUUAAUUUCGGAGCUUAACUCCGAAUCGGCGAUUGAAACUGUUAAGCUAGAGUACAAGAGAGGUAAGCGGAAUUACUAGUGUAGAGGUGGAAUUCGUAGAUAUUAGUAAGAACACCAAUGGCGAAGGCAGCUUACUGGCCUGCAACAGACGCUGAGGCACGAAAGUGUGGGGAGCAAACAGGAUUAGAUACCCUGGUA
rnacentral:rRNA from 1 species